AGAGAGCUUGAGCUGAGGAAGGCCCUGCGUCUCCGGUGAUCCAUAGGAUAGGACAAUCGCCUGAAGUACCUGCCGCAGGAGUAAAGCAUUUGCUCAUGAAGCAGACAUUCAGUGCUGCUGCUUCUACUCUGGCUCCUGUGGUCUCAGAGAUGAGACCAGACAUAAGUUGAAAACUGUAUCAUCUCUCUGAAUGCCUGCCUGCAUGCAGGCUUCACUGCAGAGCCAUCAAAUGAGGUAACUUCAGUAGACUUGUUAAGGAUAUGUAGGACCAUGAUCAAAGCCUGGAGCACAGUGUCAGUACUUUCAGAAGUUCUACCCAGGAGAUUUCUACAACCAGCAACAUCAAAGUUAGAUUUUGUGCCAAUAAGAAAUAAACUUAUUUUUAAACC